UUCUGGAAAUAAACGUCAUUGAGGGCAGGAGGCAAGCACCUUCGUGAAUUACUUCAAGCAACCUGCGGAAGCACGAUGCCAGCCAGCACUCUCAAAGGCCUCAUUGUGAGCGUUUGUGCUCGGAGGCUGCUAACUGCUGGCCUCCUUCCAUCCACCUCAUGCAAACACAACACCAUAUUUGCCUCUCGGCUGUCACUAUGUGUUAGGGGCCUAUAAACAGAGAAGAUCCUUUCUUAGCAACCACCGUGAGAAAGGAGAACCCUCCCCUCCCCUCCCCCUCAAAACAAGCCUGAAAGGAGGAAAGAAAGGAAAAGGAACCUUACACAAUCAGAUGUGAAAGUCAAAAUGACAAUCCAAUAUGGAAAGUUUCAAAACUGUUGGCUGCCUUUGGCUUGGGGGCAAAAAAAAAAAGAAAAAACUCUCAAGAAGCUUUCAGAAGCCAGCUGCCAACAGAUUAAAGGCGACUAGAAAUGAUCUCACCGCCAUGUGUAGACGUCUGGUCACAUGGAUAUCUGCAAGAUAACCAAGAAUAAUCCAGUUACGUUAUUCGGCUGCAUUUCCUUGGAGACUGCUUUGGGCUUCAUCUUGCUAUUUUUAGUCUUCUGUGUCAGACGCCAUGGGAAGCCAUCACCAAGGCAGUUCAAGAACUAUAUGUUUAUCCAGAACAGCAGCCCUUUGAUAAGGAUGUUAUCUCUGCUGCAUCACAGAUGAGGAAACCAAGGCCCAGAGGAGCUGAGGUCGGUAAGCAGCUAAGCCUGGCUUCCGACCUCAAGCCAGGACUGCCUCUCCCCUUCCCCCGGCCUCCAUCCUGCGGGUGCUGUGACUUAGGCAAGCAGCUCCAAGAAGAUACCACUCUUUAGCCGUAGGAAUUCAGAAAACCUUCAGAGAAGACUACAAACUCCAGCUGAGUAUCACAGUGCUGAGUUUAUCCAAGGCUUGAAAGACCUCCAGUUGCCUCGCUGAGCAUCUUUUGUAAGCUGAAUGAUUACACGUCAGUUAUGGAUCCAAUCCCGUCCAUGAUUCAAGGUAACUUUUUUGUGUGGUAAGAACACUUAAUAUGAGAUCUAUUCCCCUCAACAAAUGUUUAAGUGUCCGGUACGGUCCUGCCAACUAUAGACACAGUGCUGGACAGCAGAUCUCUAGAACUUACUUAUCUUGCGUAACUGAAAUUUUACACCUGUUGAACAGCAGCUCCUCAUUUCCUCCUCCACCCAGGCCCCUGUUUCUGUUUCUAUGAGUUUCUACAAGUUUGACGAUUUUAGAGCAGAGGGAAGAAAAGGCACAGAAUCCCCCACCCUUAGAGUAACUCCACCCAACUAAGACGUGUGGACCAAAGGCUUUCAAAAAUCAACUGGGAACCAGGGAGAGGAAGGGGUGGGGUGAGAGGCCAAGAGUGGGGGAGAAGCUCUCCACAUGACAGUAAAAAGGUAAAGACUAAGUGCCCCUCCCAACCAGCACCAGCAUCUCUCGCUUGGACAAUCAUACUAGUUUCUUAACUCGUCUCCGUCCUUUCACUAUAACCCAUGCUCCUCCACACAGUAGCCUGAGUAAUUUUUUUUUCCACUGUGGUAAAACACAUGUAAUGCUAUGGACUGAAUCCUGUCCACCUCCGCCACAAGAAUUUGUAUGUUGACACUCUAACCCCUAAUGUGACAGUAUUUGGAGUAAGGAAGUAAUUAAGGUUAAACGAGAUCAUAAGGCUGGGAUCCUAAUCCGAUAGGAUUAGCGUUCUUGCAGGAGGAAACACCGAGAGCCGGCUCACCCUCUCCAGGUGCACUGAGGAGAGGCCAGGUGAGCGCACAGCAAGGUGGCCGUCUGCACCCCAAGGGGAGAGCACCAGACGGCAACCCUGCUGGGACCUUGAUUUUUAAUUCCCCAGCCUCCAGGAUUCUGAGGGAAUUAACCUCUGCUGUUUAAGCCACCUAGUCUGUGGUAGUCUGUUACGGCGGCCCGAGCUAACACACAGAGCAUAAAACUUAUCCACUUGAAAGUGUGCAGUUCACUGGCAUUAACUGCGUUUGCAGUGCUGUACAACCGUCACCACCAUCAGUUCCAGAAUCUUUUCAUCACCCGGAAAGGAAAUCUGCCCCCAUUAAGUGGUCACUCCUGUUUCCCACACUCUCCAGCUCCAGCAAUAACUAACCUGCUUUCGGUCUGUAUGGACUUGCCUAUUCUGAGUAUUUAAAUGAACGGAAUCAUACA